rnacentral:rRNA from 1 species
UGCAGUCGAGCGACAGAUAAGGAGCUUGCUCCUUUGACGUUAGCGGCGGACGGGUGAGUAACACGUGGAUAACCUACCUAUAAGACUGGGAUAACUUCGGGAAACCGGAGCUAAUACCGGAUAAGAUUUUGAACCGCAUGGUUCAAUAGUGAAAGACGGCCUUGCUGUCACUUAUAGAUGGAUCCGCGCCGUAUUAGCUAGUUGGUAAGGUAACGGCUUACCAAGGCAACGAUACGUAGCCGACCUGAGAGGGUGAUCGGCCACACUGGAACUGAGACACGGUCCAGACUCCUACGGGAGGCAGCAGUAGGGAAUCUUCCGCAAUGGGCGAAAGCCUGACGGAGCAACGCCGCGUGAGUGAUGAAGGUCUUCGGAUCGUAAAACUCUGUUAUCAGGGAAGAACAAACGUGUAAGUAACUGUGCACGUCUUGACGGUACCUGAUCAGAAAGCCACGGCUAACUACGUGCCAGCAGCCGCGGUAAUACGUAGGUGGCAAGCGUUAUCCGGAAUUAUUGGGCGUAAAGCGCGCGUAGGCGGUUUUUUAAGUCUGAUGUGAAAGCCCACGGCUCAACCGUGGAGGGUCAUUGGAAACUGGAAAACUUGAGUGCAGAAGAGGAAAGUGGAAUUCCAUGUGUAGCGGUGAAAUGCGCAAGAUAUGGAGGAACACCAGUGGCGAAGCGACUUUCUGGUCUGUAACUGACGCUGAUGGCAAAGC